GGCGCCUUGGCGGAGUGGUUACGCAGCGGCCUGCAAAGCCGUGUACGCCGGUUCGACUCCGGCAGGCGCCU
rnacentral:tRNA from 1 species